ACGUUAAAAACUGUACGAAUUAUUAUGAUUACACUUCCCUUCAUAUUUAGUGAUAUUAACCUUCAUACAAACAACCUCUUCAAGGAAAAACAAAAUUCUUUUUCGAAAAUGGCACUUCCAAUUCUUCUUAUUCUCACUAUUUAAUUGCUAGCCGUAUCAAGUAACAACGAAAAAAAUAAUAAUAUCUAAACGUUAAGCAGGUCCAUAUUUUUGGGGAUACAAUUAAAAAAGUAAAUCGUCGGUGGAAUAUUGUUUCACCUAUCAAGAAUUUUGGAAGAUAUAAUUAGAAAGGUACAACCUGGGUAGAAAAUUGUACUCCUUAUCGAGCAUUUUUGAAAAUAUAAUUGAGAAAGUGGAAUCUGGAUAGAAAAUUGUUUUACCUACGAAGCAUUAUAAAAAUCCUCCCGUUGGCCGCGGAUUCGUUAUCAAGCCUGAGGCCCUCGUCACUAGUGUCACUAUCGACAAUAAAGGUACCCCACGCGCGACCGGACGAUGGAGAACUUCAACGCAGAACCGCUACCUCCCGCGAGCCCUCCCCGGGAGGGCGCCUCGAGCUCGGACUCGGAGAUUCAGACUCGACAUAUAUAUUAUUAUAUAUAUUAUAUAUACUAUUAUAUCUAUAUAAUAUAUGUAUUUAUAUCUAUAAAUAUACGUAUAAAUAUGUCUAUUUAAAAAAAUAAAGUUGACCUUCAUAUAUCGCCAAUAAUAUCGCGUGCGUAAAAAGAAACUAAUUACAUUUAAUUCUUUUUUUACAUUUAUUUUUUAUUAUUAUUUUUUUCACAACUAAUUACAUUUAAUUAUUACAUUUACAUACAUUUAACUAUUAUUACAUACAUUUACAUACAUUUAAUUAU